AAAUAUUUCACAAUGUAAACAAGUUCCCUGAAACAAAUGCGAUAACAAAAGAAAUGUAGAAUAAAACAAACAAAAAUUCAAAAAAGAUAAUUUUUUUGUACACAGAAGAGAAAACAAGGGGAAGAAAUGAUUUAAGCGUGUAUUCUAAUUUGCAAAGAGGUGGCAUAGAGCAGGGAUUUGGCAAAUAUAAUCUUUUCCCUGUAGCCUUGUUAAAUUCUGGCAGAGGGUUUACACCCUGAGAAAAUUAAUAUACAUUCAAAAAGUCUUCCUUACAGAUACAUCUCUAGAUAAUUUAAUCACUGUGUGUGCUGUUCAGUAGCUGAAGAUACAC